rnacentral:lncRNA from 1 species
AGUCAUUCUUCAGCAAAUCCCGGAAGUAUUGUUUUUAAAGGGACAGAAUCAUUUCAUGGGCGAGGGCUUUGGACCAAGAGCCAAGCAGAAAAUAGCAAAGGCCCGUUGGCAGAGGUGCCUAUAGGACGUGGAAAGGAGACGAAAGGCAUUGAGAAAGCAGGAUUUGGUGUCCUCAUCGGUCAGAUAUAUCUUCGUUACACUGUGUACACAUUUCAACGCCGAUUACACUGAAGAUCUGGAGAUCCUGUCUAAAACUGGAUCAAACUCUUCCUCCUCCAGCUCUGAUGGGAUGUUAGUUUGCUGACUGCUGCGGCCCUGGUCAUUGUCAUCGUUAUAUGUGUUUGCUGUGGGUUGUGUCUCUGGAAUGCCUGGCUCAGGAUGCAGCCGCUGAGCAGUCCACUCCUUUCAGGAGCCAAGGUGAGGCGUGAUUGGCCGCUGGCCUUAUCUGGGUGGAGCUGUAGGAGGGAUAUUACUUAUUCAUUGGCACGUUCUGCAAGGCCCCUCCCACCUCACUGACGCUCUGCCCUUGGCCCCUGUUAGCUGCCUGUGUAUCUGGGAAUGCUGUUGUUGCAUCAGAGGGGCAGUGUUGGAGAUGGCCGAACUCGGGGGCUAAGGUCAGGGUCAAGAUUCAAGGGUCAACACAACUCAGAAGCUGCAGGGGUGGAUGUGGAAGGACCUGAAGCCAAGCUGCAGGCACCAACGGGCAUAAGCUGUAUGCACUGUGGAAAUCAGCUUGUUCUAACUCCACACCUGACCCCUGGAAACUAAAGCCUUUCAUCUAUGAGACGGGAAGCUUACUUUCACUUCCACAGCCUUGUUGCACUUGUUCAGACAUCCUAGAACUCUCUGGAGCUAGUGUCUUUAUUAUUUAACACUGCACAACUUCCCCUGAAACAAUCAC